UUUAGAAAUGUCUAAGAUAUGAGUAUUCUUCUAAAUGGUCUUUCUUUUUUUAUUUCAAUUAUUGAUAUACUUUUUUGUCUCCUUUACACAAACACACUGUUCAAAGUCAUGUUUGCUUUCUAAAAUACUGAUACCAAAGAAAACAAUACUUAUUCUAACAACAACUAUUUAUGUAAUUGUACAAUACACUGCAAUAAUAAUGUUUAUAAUACACAUAAAUACAAAAUGAUAGGAAUGAGCUCAAGAUAUUUAACAGAAAAAGCUCCUCAUCAUUACAAUAUGAUUAUUUCAAAAUUUACUAUCAGACACAAACCUCAACAAAGCCCAAAUGAAAAGUAAGGAAAAAAAUCACAGUGAAUAUCACAGAUUAUUUCAAAUGUGUUUGAUGAUUUUUUUUUCUCAUUGACUUUUUUCUAUAUACAUCUGGUUACAGCUUUUCUGCUACCUUUACUUUGGUGCAUAUCUACAGUGUAUUGUAUUUUUAACUAUAAACUUUUCUUGCAAAUAUUAAGUCUUACAAAAUCUUAUGACUUUAAAAUUUAAAAAAAAAAAUAUUUACAUUGAAAAAGGUUAAUAAUAAAAAAAGAUUAUUUAAACAUAUUAUUUUCAUUUUAUAUAAUCAAGUAUUACUUUUGUGCACAUGGCAAUUAUAUCAUAUCAUAAAUUAGGUUUGUUUAUUGUUCAAUAUUUAUGGUUAAAAAUUAAUCGAAGUAUCCCCUGGAAUAGUCUGAGAAAUUAACUAAGUAUGUGUUCCUACAGUUACCUCUACUUACUGCUAAUUCAAAAUUGGAAGGUAAAACACAUACCUUCGUGUCUGGCUUUUCCCCCUAUUAUUGUACUAGUAAAUGUGGUUAUUUUCAUAUUUUUUUAUUUUACUGAUUUCAAAUAAAUAAUCUUGUGUUAAAUCAUGUACAUUGUACAUGUACAAUAAUUAGGUGUGCCUAUCACAUCAAUGGUAAACUGUACAAACUUUUGAAGUAUAUUUUUCACAUUUAACAUGAUAAAAAAUAAGCAAAAGUGAUCUCUUAAAGUUGUUUGCUACAUUUAGAUGUUGCAUUAUUAAUCCAGGUACAAUUUUUAAAUUUAAAAACUGCAUAAACUUCUGAAAGUAGUUAUCUUUUAUAUAUAUAUAUAUAAAAAAAUCUGGGAUGGAAAUGUAUAAGGAAACAAUUCUAUACAUAUCAAAUGGUGACAUAAAAUAAUUCACAAACAGAUAAAUAAAUAUUAUUACCGUAUGUAUUUAUUAGACAGCAAUGUUGUUACACUUUUCUAUACCAUAAAAAGUUAUUUUGCCGCAUAUUGGGUUGACAAUUGGUGAUUUAAAACACUUUAUUGUCAAGACCACUUUUAAGAGAUUUUUCUACAUUUUGCAUUUUUAUCUCAAAAUAUACAAUGAAAGCCAAUACCUAUAAAUAUAUGACAAUACCUUAUAUGCAAUAAAGGUCAGUAACUUAUUUUUGACAUACCGCUAUAAAAACACAUUUAAAGUGACACAGAACAUUUGACAUGUAAUUUUUUUUAAAUGCACAUCUAUCACAGCUUUGAAAUACAUCGCAUGAAUACAAUUUUUAAAUAUGAAUAUUGGCAAAAAAAAUUAUGGAAAUAACCCAAAUUCCCAAAAUUGAACCCUAUUUUUCUCUGCCUCAUUUAGAUCUAAAACAAAUCUCAAAAUCAUGAAAAUAAUAAAAGAAUGGAAAACUACCUAGUCUCCCAAUAAAAUGAGAUUUAAUGUGAAAAUAUGAAAGAAAUAUGACCAAAAUCUUGAACUGGAUCUUAUCUAUUGUUUAUAUGAUAAAUGAAAACAAGUCUUACAGCUAGAUUGUAUUGAGUGUGUAGCAAAUGGUAAUAUCUUAGGUUAACUUACUUCCCAGCUGAAUUGUGAAGUCAUCAUUAGGUAAGGUAUACAACCCUCCUUUCAAAGAAGUCUAUUCCUACAGACAGAUAGAUAGGUUAUCUGUCGGACUAGUCUACUCUUAAAUGAGGGCAGUUUACCCAACCUAAUACCGACUUCACGGCUCAGCUGGCAACCAAGCUAACCAAAUAUAUUACCUUUGCCUACACACUUUAAGCAAUCAGCUGUAACACUCCUAUCCAAUUUGAUUCAGUUUAUGCCUUUUCUAAAACGUAAUGAAUCUUGACUCUGAUGAAAUUGAAAUGCAAGUGAAAUACUAAUGAUUUAAUAUGCUAGAGAUGUUAUUUGCAAUUUUUACUAAAAAUCUUAUUAAAACAUGUAGAAUUAAUGAGCAUGUGUUAUUAUAUAAUGAAACCAGUAAUAUAAUCCAGUUACUGUCCUGAGCAGUUUAUUUCAAUCUAUUUCUUGUUAUUUUUUGAACUUUUAUUUGCAAUUAUGUAUAAUUUUGACUUACUUCUCUGCUGAGUGCAGAAUUUUUAAAAUGUAUAUUAAGUUUUUUGUUAAACUAUAAUGUUUUUUUACCAACGAAAAAUUAUUAAGAAAAGUAAUAGGUACCUUUUUGGCUGGUGAUAUCCUAGAUGGGAUAAACUUCCACCAGCAACAUAUUUCCUUUUUGGGUCAAAACCUUAAAAUAUAGUUUUAUUUUCAAGUUUUGGAAGGGAAAUUCCGAAUUGGCAAUCAUAGUGAAUAAAGAGUCUAAAGCACCUUCCCUGAGCAAGGUUUCAUCUAACAACCUCAGUGUUUAUAGGCUAAAGACUAAUGAAGAUCACUGAAGUUGAACUACUUGUAUCACUUUGCCUUAACGGUCCCUCCUUUUUAUGCAGCACAACAAAAGGAAAAGACAUUAAUUGUAUAUCCAUAAAACAGAGUUAUAUAGAUAGCUAAUACAGUAAUAGAGGUAUGUAUAUAGCCAAUAGUUCUGUUUCAUUCAAAUAUAUCCCUCACUAGUUAAUGGUAAAAUAUUUGUUAUAACAUGUAUAACUGGUUAUUAGACACUAAAAUAG
rnacentral:lncRNA from 1 species